rnacentral:tRNA from 1 species
GUUGAGUUGGCAGAUUUAAGUGCUUUAAAUUUAGAAUUUAAAAAUGUAUAUUUUUUUACAUUCAAUA